UUUUCUGUUUAUUAUUUCCUGAAAUGGUCUCCCACUGUAUUCUAUGUGCAAUAAAUUAUGAAAGAGUGAUAUGCUGUAUUGACUAUCCAAUUUGGAAGGCAGAGGAAUACAGAGGACAUUCAUGUGAGGACAGAAAAAAAUUUCAGACAGGACAGUAAAAAAAAACGUGUGGGGAGGUAUAACAAGGCAAGUGACUUUAGGAGAGAUUAGGGCCCUUAACCAGAUCUUGCCAAUCCUUUGGUGAGUCAUUUAUCUCAGGAGGGGAGGAGACUCAACCAUCGGCAUCUAUAAUGGGGCUGGUGGUUUCCUAGAAAGCAGAAGCGAACCAAUCCCAAAGCAACCAGAAGCCUUUGGGGGUGAAGAGCAGGACAAAAUGGUGUGAUUGGAAAAGGUUAGGGGUUGAUCUUGGAGGCAAGGACAGCUUGUACCCUAUGAACGUUAUGUGAAGGGAGGAGUAAAAGCAUGGGCAUUUGCAG
rnacentral:lncRNA from 1 species